rnacentral:rRNA from 1 species
UACGUAGGUGGCGAGCGUUGUCCGGAUUUACUGGGCGUAAAGGGAGCGUAGGCGGACUUUUAAGUGAGAUGUGAAAUACCCGGGCUCAACUUGGGUGCUGCAUUUCAAACUGGAAGUCUAGAGUGCAGGAGAGGAGAAUGGAAUUCCUAGUGUAGCGGUGAAAUGCGUAGAUAUUAGGAGGAACACCAGUUGCGAAGGCGGCUCUCUGGACUGUAACUAACACUGAGGCACGAAAGCGUGGGGAGCAAACAGGAUUAGAUACCCUGGUA